ACCUGGCUGGCUUAGUCAGUAGAGCAUGUGACUCUUGAUCUCAGGGUUGUGGCUCUGAGCCCCAUGUUGGGUA
rnacentral:tRNA from 1 species